rnacentral:lncRNA from 1 species
GUUUUAAUGUAGUGACCUAUCAUAUACAAACAAUUUAUUGUGUAUUUAUAUUAAAACAGUAUAGUAUAUAUGUAUAUAUAAAAUUCAUCUAUUUCUUUUCCUGCCUGUCCCCCACCCCCACCCCCGGUACUGGGAAUCAAACUCAAGACCUUGAGCUUGCCAGACAAGUACAGCACACUGAGAUACGCCCCCGGCCCUAUUUUGCAUCUUUGUAUCCAUGAGUGUAUUUCUUGCUCGACUAGCCUUGGCCCCAAAGAGCUACUACAUCGGUUCCUUCCCAGGGCUGAGCUCUCAGGGACUUCAUCACUCCCCAAGGCCCCACCUCGGAGACGCCCUGCCACCCCUCACGAGGUCGGAGACUCUCAGAUCAGACCUGAGCCACAGCCCCACAGGCAGCAGAUGGAUUCUUCCCUGGCCCUCCCACCCAGAGGUGGGGUCUACGUUCCUUCCUCUGUGGCCUCUACGGCUCUCUGUCCCACUCCAUGAUGGAGGAUGGGACACGUACCUGUCUGUAGGCCCUGGCUUUCAGAGUCUGGCUUCUUCUGCCUUCUGUCUCUCAGGCACUCUCUCUAGGAGGCCUGAGCUGCCUGUGUGAGGUCUCCAAACUCCCCCUCACCACCCUGGAGAUCCUACCUAGCAAGACCCCACUGAAUCCGGUCAAGCUGGACCCUCUACCUGAGCCCAGAUGAAUACCAGAGUGACCUAAGUCAAAACACCUAAGGGAGCCUCUCCUGCACAGACAUAUCCAAUACAGUAACAGUGUUGUUGUUUGAAGCUGCCACACUCCACACGGGCUCACAUCAGAUCCAGGUGGAAACUGAAGUUGUGUGUUGCCUGCAGCUCUUCUGCUCCUCCCCUCUCCCCUGAGGAUGGUACAGCCCUGGUGAGGCUGCCCCUGAGAUCUGACGACCUGGGGAGCAGUGCCAUGGUGCCCACGAACAUCACCAUGGGACCCAGACGAGAAACAAACUUUCACUGCUGUUAAGCCCUGAAGAUUUUGGGCUGUUCUCGACCACAUCCGCUGUGAAUCAUGCAAUACACAGCUACUAUUUCUCUCCCCUUUAUCACUAUUGGAAAAGCCCAUUUCUCCCAAUAAAGAAUGAAGAAACCACAGGUACUCACUUUCUAAGCCUCCUUUACAGCUAAAGCUGUUCUACUUGUCUUGAGAAAUGACAGGUACUCCUUGCCUGUACCUUCUUGGUAUACUUCCAGGAAAAAGAUUUUCCUCUAGUACCAAAAUAGAAGCUUAGCCUGGUGGCACAUGCCUGCAAUCCCAG